rnacentral:lncRNA from 1 species
ACCCAUGUAUACACUCUCACGUAUGUUAGAUGUUAUGUAGGUAAAGUAGGAGAUACACACACGAAAAGAAACAACAUGGGUAUAAGCCACACCCACACCAGAUAUACCCACGUUGGACCAAGUAUGUGUACCAAUGUGGGUGUAGGCAUAUCCUCAUACUUUUUAAGUUUUUAUCUAUGUAUCUUUCAUGUGGGUGUAUCUCAAUUUGUUUAUAGUGGUAGUGCUAUUAAAAAUGUAUGAGCUUA